rnacentral:rRNA from 1 species
AUUGAACGCUGGCGGCAUGCCUUACACAUGCAAGUCGAACGGUAACGCGGGGCAACCUGGCGACGAGUGGCGAACGGGUGAGUAAUAUAUCGGAACGUGCCCAAUAGUGGGGGAUAGCCCGGCGAAAGCCGGAUUAAUACCGCAUACGACCUGAGGGUGAAAGCGGGGGAUCGCAAGACCUCGCGCUAUUGGAGCGGCCGAUAUCAGAUUAGGUAGUUGGUGGGGUAAAGGCCUACCAAGCCUACGAUCUGUAGCUGGUCUGAGAGGACGACCAGCCACACUGGGACUGAGACACGGCCCAGACUCCUACGGGAGGCAGCAGUGGGGAAUUUUGGACAAUGGGCGCAAGCCUGAUCCAGCCAUGCCGCGUGCGGGAAGAAGGCCUUCGGGUUGGUAAACCGCUUUGUCAGGGAGAAAGUACUUCUGGGUUAAUACCU